AACAACAGUUGGAAACGACUGCUAAUACCGGCAUAAGCUGUGCAAACAGGAAAGAUGGCCUCUGAAUAUGCUGUCGCUAAAAGAUGUAGCCCGCGUCGUGAUUAGCUAGUUGGUGGGGUAAAGGCCUACCAAGGCGACGAUCAGUAGCCGGCCUGAGAGGGUGAACGGCCACACUGGGACUGAGACACGGCCCAGACUCCUACGGGAGGCAGCAGUGGGGAAUAUUGCGCAAUGGGGGAAAACCCUGACGCAGCGACGCCGCGUGAAGCGAAGAAGGCCUUAGGGUUGUAAAGCUCUGUUUUAGGGGACGAAGUGUCACGAUCAGUAAUAUGGGUUGUGAAUGACGGUACCCUAAGAGGAAGCCCCGGCUAACUACGUGCCAGCCGCGGC
rnacentral:rRNA from 1 species